CUCUAAACUCUGAACUCAGUUUGUCGAUUCCUUGACAUUUUAUAACUCUGAAGUCUGGACUUGAUAAAUCGUUUCCUAGAAACUUUCACGCUCUAAAGAAUACACUCAGUGAAUCUAUGCUUUGACAUUUUCAAGCUCCGAAUACUAAACUCAGUGAAUUUAUUCUUUGACAUGUUCACAGUUUGAAGACAUGAACCCCUCACUUCAUCUAUUCCUUGACAUUUUCAAGCUCUGAAUAGUAAUAGGAAGAUGUGGUAUGAGUGCCAAUGAGACAACUCUCCAUCCAAAUAACAAUUUAUAAAAGUAAACCAUUAUAGGUCAAGGUAUGGCCUUCUACACGGAGCCUUGGCUCACACCAAACAGCAAGCUUGAAAGGGCCCCC
rnacentral:lncRNA from 1 species